UUUGCUUUUAAAUCUUUAAACAAGCUAUGAAAUUUUCGGUAUUUACAUUAGAAUACCACAUGAAGACUAAGAGACAAAAGGAAAAGGAACAGUGGUUUUGUUUUUUUUUUUUUUUAGAUUUUUUUCACCACCCAUUAAAGCUGAGCUGACCAGAUGUGAGAGAGUGGAGCCAUAGAGUGAUGAAGGGGGCCGUUUGUAGCACAACUGGUCAACCUGGCACCAAGCCAUUCGUCUCUACCUCCAUCUUCUGCUCACAGACCCCUCCCCCCCAUAUCUGUGCACUGCAAUCCUUUUAUAUGGAUUACUAGAGCUAUGCGAUUAAUGGACAAACAAUCAUCCCAUCUGCAGACAUCUUUCUUUGGGAUGUACCGGGUUGUCUGCCCAUUGGGUGACAUACAGUGGAGAAAAAGAAAUGUUUAAAAGAAAAUCCAAAAAUGUGAACCAGAUGGAAAUGGAAGCAUGGACACUCUGGGUGGCGGCCACUGCAUCUUGCUGGCGGUCCACCGGCUGGAUUCUACAUUGUUUCCUGGUGAUGGACUGAACUGUUUAACCAGAGGUCACUGCCCUAGAAGCCGUAGCCACUGCAGAUCAACAGAUCUGGAUGUUUUUGAAGUAAUUACACUGUCUCUCUCUCUCUCUGAAUACUGGGUCCUU